rnacentral:tRNA from 1 species
GGUCCCGUAGUUCAACGGAUAGUAUGAAGGUUUCCGGAACCUUAGAUUGGGGUUCGAUUCCCCACGGGACUA